rnacentral:rRNA from 1 species
AUGGGUUCUUUCCCCACGGCUUAUCUGGGGAUCCCCAUUAGUGACUCGCGCCUCACCGUGGUGGAUCUCCGCCCCACGGUGACCCGUAUGCAGCAUCGCGUGGAGCCCUGGAAAGGGCGUUGGCUGUCGAAGGCGGCCCGCGUGAUUCUUAUCAACUCCUCGCUGGCCAGCCUCCUGUGGUUCCUCAUGAGCUUUUACAGCCUUCAUGAGACGCUCCAUCAGGAGAUCGCCAAAUACCAGUCCAGAUUCUUCUGGGCAGGGGAGGAGGGCAAACAGAAAUAUCACAUGGUUAGCUGGCCAGAUAUUUGCAAACCCAAAGACCAGGGCGGUCUUGGGAUCCUGUCCUCUCGGCGCAUGAACAUCGCCCUCCUGACCCGCUGGCUUUGGCGCAUUGCCAAUGGCGAGGGAGGCCUCUGGCUAACUAUCAUCCGGAACAAAUACCUUCGUGGACAGCCCCUGGCGUUCUGCCAACGCUCGGGCGGUUCCCAAUUUUGGCAGGCUGUCGUCCAGCUGCUCCCGGUUCUGCGCAUAGGCACUUCCAUCUCUGUGGGCUCUGGCGCCUCGACCUUGUUCUGGUUGGAUAGAUGGCUUGGGGACUCCCCUCUAGCCGCCCGGUUCCCCAGCCUCUUCGAUAUUGUAGUUGACCCUCGGGUCUCUGUCGAGGCGGCCCUUAUUGACUUAGGGCGCCUCGCGUUCCGCCGCCCUUUUGGACCUGCCGAGGUGGCUGCCUGGGAUGAUCUCCUCCAGGACAUCGCCCUGCUACCUAUGGACGUGGCAGACGCUCCGGAUGCCAUCUCCUGGCACCUGGACCCCUCCGGCCGCUUCUCCACCAAAUCCCUCUACGCGGCCAUUGCCCCCUCAUUGGCUCCGGAGCCCUUCGGCCUUAUCUGGGACAUUCGCCUCCCACUUAAGAUUCGGAUCUUUCUGUGGCAGUGGAUCCGCGGCCGCCUCCCGACAGGCGUGGAGGUCCUCAAGCGCCAUGGUCCUGGUGAUGGAAUGUGCCCCUUGUGUACCACGGUUGAGGAUGCUAAUCACAUCUUCUUCUCGUGCUGCACGGCACAGUUCCUUUGGUCUUGUUUCCGCGAAACAGUUGGCGGACAGUGGUGCAAUACCAACUUCCCUGACUUGCUUGCCGAAAUUCAGGCCUCUCCUCCUCGCUACAGACAUAUUAGAUGGCUGUGCGUCGGGGUGCUGGCCUGGACCUUGUGGACGGUUCGCAAUAGGCUUGUCAUUCAGAAGGUGCCCCUUCGACGUGCGACUGACUCCAUCUUUAAAAUGUGUGGUUACUUGCAGCUCUGGCGGCCGCUUAGCCGCCCCCCGGACCGGGACGCCAUCGACAGACUCCUCUCCGACCUCCGUUCGUUGGCCUUCCGCCUGGCACCUCCGCUCCCGCCGCCUCCCCCGGUGCCCGACUAG